AUUUAAUUGAAGAGUUUGAUCAUGGCUCAGAUUGAACGCUGGCGGCAGCCCUUACACAUGCAAGUCGAGCGAGAAAGUUUCUUCGGAAGCGAGUAAAGCGGCGGA
rnacentral:rRNA from 1 species